UGGGUUAAUUAAGUUUUUAGU
rnacentral:miRNA from 1 species